rnacentral:rRNA from 1 species
GACGAACGCUGGCGGCGUGCUUAACACAUGCAAGUCGAGCGGUAAGGCCCUUCGGGUACGACGAGCGGCGAACGGGUGAGUAACACGUGGGUGACCUGCCCUCAGCUCUGGGAUAAGCCUGGGAAACCGGGUCUAAUACCGGAUAUGACUCCAUGACGCAUGUUGUGGGGUGGAAAGCCUUGUGCGGCUGAGGAUGGGCCCGCGGCCUAUCAGCUUGUUGGUGGGGNGAUGGCCUACCAAGGCGACGGCGGGUAGCCGGCCUGAGAGGGCGACCGGCCACACUGGGACUGAGACACCGGCCCAGACUCCUACGGGAGGCAGCAGUGGGGAAUCUUGCGCAAUGGGCGAAAGCCUGACGCAG